UACGUAGGGUGCGAGCGUUAAUCGGAAUUACUGGGCGUAAAGCGUGCGCAGGUGGUUUUUUAAGUCAGACGUGAAAUCCCCGGGCUUAACCUGGGAACUACGUUUGAAACUGGAAGACUAGAGUGUGGCAGAGGGGGGUGGAAUUCCUGGUGUAGCAGUGAAAUGCGUAGAUAUCAGGAGGAACACCGAUGGCGAAGGCAGCCCCCUGGGCUAACACUGACACUCAUGCACGAAAGCGUGGGGAGCAAACAGGAUUAGAUACCCUGGUAGUCCACGCCCUAAACUAUGUCAACUGGUUGUUGGGGGAGUUAAAUCCCUUAGUGACGAAGCUAACGCGUGAAGUUGACCGCCUGGGGAGUACGGCCGCAAGGUUAAA
rnacentral:rRNA from 1 species